rnacentral:rRNA from 1 species
GGGCCCGCACAAGCGGUGGAGUAUGUGGUUUAAUUCGAUGCAACGCGAAGAACCUUACCAGGGUUUGACAUCCUGCGAAUCUCUUGGAAACAGGAGAGUGCCUUCGGGAACGCAGUGACAGGUGGUGCAUGGCUGUCGUCAGCUCGUGUCGUGAGAUGUUGGGUUAAGUCCCGCAACGAGCGCAACCCACGUCUUUAGUUGCCAGCAUUUAGUUGGGCACUCUAGAAAGACCGCCGGUGAUAAACCGGAGGAAGGUGUGGAUGACGUCAAGUCAUCAUGCCCCUUACACCCUGGGCUACACACGUACUACAAUGCUACGGACAAAGGGCAGCAAACUCGCGAGAGCUAGCAAAUCCCAUAAACCGUAGCUCAGUUCGGAUCGCAGUCUGCAACUCGACUGCGUGAAGCUGGAAUCGCUAGUAAUCG